rnacentral:misc_RNA from 1 species
GUUGGUGAACCAGCGGAGGGCUCAUUACAGAGUGUAAAAACUCCCAAACCCACUGUGAACUUACCACUGUUGCUUCGGCGGAUCCGCCCCGGGCGCCUCCCCUCAGGGGGUGGUGCCCCGGACCCAGGCGGCCGCCGGGGACCCAAACCUCUGUAUUUUAUGAGUAUUCUCUGAGUGUGAUUUACUAAAUCAAGUCAAAACUUUCAACAACGGAUCUCUUGGCUCUG